rnacentral:rRNA from 1 species
UACGUAGGGUGCAAGCGUUAUCCGGAAUUAUUGGGCGUAAAGAGCUCGUAGGCGGUUUUGUCGCGUCUGCUGUGAAAACUGGAGGCUCAACCUCCAGCCUGCAGUGGGUACGGGCAGACUAGAGUGCGGUAGGGGAGAUUGGAAUUCCUGGUGUAGCGGUGGAAUGCGCAGAUAUCAGGAGGAACACCGAUGGCGAAGGCAGAUCUCUGGGCCGUAACUGGACGCUGAGGAGCGAAAGCUGGGGAGCGAACAGG